rnacentral:tRNA from 1 species
AUUCUUUUAGUAUCAAACAGUACAAUUGACUUCCAAUCAAUAAGCUUCGGUARAGCC